UUUUGUUUUUGCGGCCCAAAGACCAGCGACGCGACCACAGGAGAGAAAAAAACCCUAACCCGUCCUGAUUCACGCCUUCGUGUUCUUCGUUUCUCUUCGAUCGGCGGACGGGGCGAUCCAGUUUCUGUAACGUCUGGUAGGUGUUCAUCGGUUGUGGAUGCGAUGCUGCUGCGGUACUGGGAGGCUAGAAAUGUCAAGGGUGGUGGGGAGCUUAUGUGUCUUCGCUGAGACAAAAGAGGUACAAUAUGAUAAAUUGUUGCUUGAUGCCCCGUGUUCUGGAAUCGGUGUCCUCUCUAAGAGAGCUGACUUGCACUGGAACUGUAAACUGGAGGACAUGGAAGAACUUAAGAAUCUAUAGGAUGAGCUUCUUGAUUCUGCCUCCAAGUAUGCACACACCCUGUAGAUAGAUUUUAAUUCUUUAGGAAAAACUAAUACGGGACCUAACUAAUACUUCUCUUUGUGUCUUAAAUUAAAAUCUCAAAAAUUGGUGAAGCCGGGUGGGUUCUUGAUAUACAGUACUUGCUCGAUAGACCCUGAAGAAAAUCAAGGAAGAGUCGAAGCGUUUCUCCUAAGACAUCCU